ACCUGGGUGGCUCAGUCAGUUGAGUGUCUGAUUUCGGCUCAGGUCAUGAUCUCGCACCCGUGGGUUCGAGCCCCGCAUCAGGCU
rnacentral:tRNA from 1 species